GUGAGAUUCAUCAGAAUUUUACUGCAUAGAAAGGAUUUAAGACUUUGUUUCUCCUUGAUGUGACUAAUACUGAAAAGGCAAGAUUUAAAAUGUACUUUCUCUGAAAUAACUAGAAAAUAGUUAGACACCGCCCAUUUAGUUGUGUUUGCAACAUGGCAUCUCUCACUGGUUUCCGGCUGGGGUCACAUAGCCAUUGCUUGUGUUCUGUACAUUGUGUAUCCUCAGUUGCUCAGUGCCAGCCUCGCUUCGCCUUUAGUUCUGCCUUAUUUUCCACUUGCCAUGCACAGAACUGGGGGAGCCUCUGGAAGUGCCAGGCUGCCACUGUCAGCUAGAUUUGCCAAGUCAAAGAGGCACAGCCAGCCCCUAAGUGCCUUUUUGGUUGCUUUUGCAUUGUGAGGACACUCGGCAGGCAGGCAGCAGUCCCUGCUGUGUGCUUCAGGGACCCUUCAUCUCACCAUAGAUGUCCCGUGCAACCAGCUUCAGUUGUGGGUUCUGUAGCCACCACAGGCCAGACCCAGCUUUGGUCAGACCCACAAAGAUGGACGGGACAGCAUGGAAGAACAGCUGUGUCCUCAGGGAAACAACAGAGGAAGAUUGUGUGGGACCCGCAUUGAAACGCUGGCCAUGAUGCAUAGAGGAAUAUCAUUGCCAGCAGCUGCACUCAGGAGCCCGAAUUCAGGAGUGAAACUGCCACUUCUAGCUAGUCCCUUAUUUC
rnacentral:lncRNA from 1 species